UCCUUUUCACGUGAAAAAAAUAACCCUUUUUACAAAUGAGACAUUUUCUAAUUCCAACUCUUAUUCCAAUAAAAUAAUAACCCAAUAAUAAUAUUCCAAUUAUUUAAUUAAAUUAAUAAAUGUAUUAUUAACUUAAAUUAAAUAAUUAUCUUAUUUUAUCGGGGUGUUACAACUCUCCCCCACUAAAAGAGUUUUCGUCCUCGAAAACAUACCUCAAGCGAAUAACUCUGG
rnacentral:lncRNA from 1 species